GAUGAAGAACGUAGCGAAAUGCGAUAAGUAAUGUGAAUUGCAGAAUUCAGUGAAUCAUCGAAUCUUUGAACGCACAUUGCGCCCGCCAGUAUUCUGGCGGGCAUGCCUGUUCGAGCGUCAUUUCAACCAUCAAGCCCCCGGCUUGUGUUGGGGACCUGCGGCUGCCGCAGGCCCUGAAAACCAGUGGCGGGCUCGCUAGUCACUCCGAGCGUAGUAAUACAUCUCGCUCAGGGCGUGCUGCGGGUUCCGGUCGUUAAAAGCCUUAUUUUACCCAAGGUUGACCUCGGAUCAGGUAGGAAGACCCGCUGAACUUAAGCAUAUCAAUAAGCGGAGGA
rnacentral:misc_RNA from 1 species